rnacentral:rRNA from 1 species
CAGUAGCCGCGGGAAUACGUAGGGUGCAAGCGUUAAUCGGAAUUACUGGGCGUAAAGCGUGCGCAGGCGGUUUGUUAAGACAGAUGUGAAAUCCCCGGGCUUAACCUGGGAACUGCAUUUGUGACUGGCAAGCUAGAGUAUGGCAGAGGGGGGUGGAAUUCCGCGUGUAGCAGUGAAAUGCGUAGAUAUGCGGAGGAACACCGAUGGCGAAGGCAGCCCCCUGGGCCAAUACUGACGCUCAUGCACGAAAGCGUGGGGAGCAAACAGGAUUAGAUACCCCAGUAGUCCCUGUCUCUUAUAC